UGAUGGCGACCGGCGCACGGGUGAGUAACACGUAUCCAACCUUCCGUUUACUCAGGGAUAGCCUUUCGAAAGAAAGAUUAAUACCUGAUAGUAUGGUGAGAUUGCAUGAUAGCACCAUUAAAGAUUUAUCGGUGAUGGAUGGGGAUGCGUCUGAUUAGCCUGUUGGCGGGGUAACGGCCCACCAAGGCGACGAUCAGUAGGGGUUCUGAGAGGAAGGUCCCCCACAUUGGAACUGAGACACGGUCCAAACUCCUACGGGAGGCAGCAGUGAGGAAUAUUGGUCAAUGGACGAGAGUCUGAACCAGCCAAGUAGCGUGCAGGAUGACGGCCCUAUGGGUUGUAAACUGCUUUUAUAAGGGAAUAAAGUGAGUCUCGUGAGACUUUUUGCAUGUACCUUAUGAAUAAGGACCGGCUAAUUCCGUGCCAGCAGCCGCGGUAAUACGGAAGGUCCGGGCGUUAUCCGGAUUUAUUGGGUUUAGAGGGAGCGUAGGCCGGAGAUUAAGCGUGUUGUGAAAUGUAGACGCUCAACGUCUGCACUGCAGCGCGAACUGGUUUCCUUGAGUACGCACAAAGUGGGCGGAAUUCGUGGUGUAGCGGUGAAAUGCUUAGAUAUCACGAAGAACUCCGAUUGCGAAGGC
rnacentral:rRNA from 1 species